ACGCUGGCGGCGUGCCUAAUACAUGCAAGUCGAACGGUCUUUCUAUGGAAGCUUGCUUCCACUGAGAAGAUAGUGGCGAACGGGUGAGUAACACGUGGGUAACCUGCCCAUAAGAGGGGGAUAACAUCCGGAAACGGGUGCUAAUACCGCAUAGUUUUUCUUGAUCGCAUGAUUGAGAAAGGAAAGACGGCCUUUGUGCUGUCGCUUAUGGAUGGACCCGCGGCGUAUUAGUUAGUUGGUGAGGUAACGGCUCACCAAGACGAUGAUACGUAGCCGACCUGAGAGGGUGAUCGGCCACAUUGGGACUGAGACACGGCCCAAACUCCUACGGGAGGCAGCAGUAGGGAAUCUUCCGCAAUGGACGAAAGUCUGACGGAGCAACGCCGCGUGAGUGAAGAAGGUUUUUCCGGAUCGUAAAACUCUGUUGUCAGAGAAGAACAAGUUGGAGAGUAACUGCUCCAGCCUUGACGGUAUCUGACCAGAAAGCCACGGCUAACUACGUGCCAGCAGCCGC
rnacentral:rRNA from 1 species